rnacentral:rRNA from 1 species
AACGAACGCUGGCGGCAUGCCUAACACAUGCAAGUCGAACGAGACCUUCGGGUCUUGUGGCGCACGGGUGCGUAACGCGUGGGAACCUGCCCUUAGGUUCGGAAUAACUCCCCGAAAGGGGUGCUAAUACCGGAUAAUGUCUUCGGACCAAAGAUUUAUCGCCUUUGGAUGGGCCCGCGUUGGAUUAGCUAGUUGGUAGGGUAAAAGCCUACCAAGGCGACGAUCCAUAGCUGGUCUGAGAGGAUGAUCAGCCACACUGGGACUGAGACACGGCCCAGACUCCUACGGGAGGCAGCAGUGGGGAAUAUUGGACAAUGGGCGAAAGCCUGAUCCAGCAAUGCCGCGUGAGUGAUGAAGGCCUUAGGGUUGUAAAGCUCUUUUAACCGGGAUGAUAAUGACAGUACCGGGAGAAUAAGCUCCGGCUAACUCCGUG